GGGUGAGUAAUGCAUCGGAACGUACCUUUCAGUGGGGGAUAACGUAGCGAAAGUUACGCUAAUACCGCAUAUUCUGUGAGCAGGAAAGCAGGGGAUCGCAAGACCUUGCGCUGAUGGAGCGGCCGAUGUCAGAUUAGCUAGUUGGUGGGGUAAAGGCUCACCAAGGCGACGAUCUGGAGCGGGUCUUAGAGGAUGAUCCGCCACACUGGAACUGAGACACGGUCCAGACUCCUACGGGAGGCAGCAGUGGGGAAUUUUGGACAAUGGGCGCAAGCCUGAUCCAGCCAUGCCGCGUGAGUGAAGAAGGCCUUCGGGUUGUAAAGCUCUUUCGGCCGGGAAAAAAUCGCUUGGGUUAAUACCCUGAGUGGAUGAUGGUACCGGAAUAAGAAGCACCGGGUAACUACGUGCCAGCAGCCGCGGUAAUACGUAGGGUGCGAGCGUUAAUCGGAAUUACUGGGCGUAAAGCGUGCGCAGGCGGUUUUGUAAGACAGGCGUGAAAUCCCCGGGCUCAACCUGGGAACUGCGUUUGUGACUGCAAGGCUAGAGUAUGGCAGAGGGGGGUGGAAUUCCACGUGUAGCAGUGAAAUGCGUAGAGAUGUGGAGGAACACCAAUGGCGAAGGCAGCCCCCUGGGCCAAUACUGACGCUCGUGCACGAAAGCGUGGGGAGCAAACAGGAUUAGAUACCCUGGUAGUCCACGCCCUAAACGAUGUCAACUAGGUGUUGGGUGGGUAAAACCAUUUGGUACCGUAGCUAACGCGUGAAGUUGACCGCCUGGGGAGUACGGCCGCAAGGUUAAAACUCAAAGGAAUUGACGGGGACCCGCACAAGCGGUGGAUGAUGUGGAUUAAUUCGAUGCAACGCGAAAAACCUUACCUACCCUUGACAUGCCAAGAACUUGCCAGAGAUGGCUUGGUGCCCGAAAGGGAGCCUGGACACAGGUGCUGCAUGGCUGUCGUCAGCUCGUGUCGUGAGAUGUUGGGUUAAGUCCCGCAACGAGCGCAACCCUUGUCGUUAAUUGCCAUCAUUUAGUUGGGCACUUUAACGAGGCUGCCGGUGACAAACCGGAGGAAGGUGGGGAUGACGUCAAGUCCUCAUGGCCCUUAUGGGUAGGGCUUCACACGUCAUACAAUGGUCGGUACAAAGGGUUGCCAAGCCGCGAGGCGGAGCCAAUCCCAGAAAGCCGAUCGUAGUCCGGAUCGCAGGCUGCAACUCGCCUGCGUGAAGUCGGAAUCGCUAGUAAUCGUGGAUCAGCAUGUCACGGUGAAUACGUUCCCGGGUCUUGUACACACCGCCCGUCACACCAUGGGAGCGGGUUCCGCCAGAAGUAGGUAGCCUAAG
rnacentral:rRNA from 1 species